ACCAGGGGAUUUUCCUUGACUUCCAUUGAAGAAAUACCUUCAGAUGUGCCCAUGGUAACACAAGCUGGACUGCAGCUUUUCCUAAGCACUUAGAAUCAUAGAAUCAUAUUUCAGGAUUCCCGUGGCACCUUUGAUGACAGGAAUGCUCAUUCCAUAUGCUUCUGUGUUACCACCCACAGAGCAAAAAAGCCUGCACCACAUGAGGGUCCUGCUAUGAUCUGCUGUAAGCCUGACACAAGAGCAGCUGAAAUGCAGCACAGAAGACCUCUUUGGGUGGUGCUGUCAUAGCCACGGCCUUGGUAUGGCACAAGCACAUAUGGUGACAAAAAUCACACGUGGAGGGACAAGCCACCAUGCUAGCUUGGGGAUGGACCCCACCAUAAAACAUGCCCAAGUCCAACCUGCCUGAUCUGGCCCUGCAUUAGCCUUGGGCUCACUUCAGAAUGAUGCUGAGUAGGGGAGGCUGUGAACCAGGAGAGGAAAGGAAGCCUCAGUGCAUGUGUGAAGCACCUGAGAAAGGUACAGGUAUCUCGGAACUGGAUGGACAGGAUGGAUUGCUGAGGCAUGGAGAGCAUCUCACAGCUGGGAUGACAACUGCUUUAUUGCAUCUCUCUUGGAGCUGCAGUUCCAUGCCUGAGUUUCCCUUGGUAGGAGAGCUACAAGCAUCACAGGUGGCUCGACCUGCUGGGAACCCUGAGCUCACAGCCUGAUUAACGAGAUGGAGCAGACAGAGCAGAAUGAUGCUGCCUGCAUACUAAGAAACUUGGCCCGGAGCCCACGCACACCAAAGGCAAAAUAAAUAAAUAAACAUCUCCAUCAAUCUUGACGUCACUGGGGGAAAAAGGGUCACUGCCAUGUGGAAGGAGACAUCUGGACAGUGAGGUCACUGCUCUGGAUGGAUGCCACAGAGCAGUUCACAUGCUCAGCAGCACCAUAGGAUAAAAUGACAGUUAAAAAAAAAAAUAAAGAAAGAAUAAAUUCUAACUGAUACUGAGGGAGCAGAGGUUUAAGGAUGGAGGUUCAGACCCUCUGCACGCCUGCCUUCAUAUCUAACUUUUCCUGAUAAAAAACUCCUGUGAUUCCAGGCAC